rnacentral:tRNA from 1 species
GCGGGCAUGGCGGAAUUGGUAGACGCAAGGGACUUAAAAUCCCUCGGUGCGCAAGCACUGUGCCGGUUCGAUUCCGGCUGCCCGCACCA